rnacentral:rRNA from 1 species
GAGACAGCAGCAGCCGCGGGAAUACAGAGGGUGCGAGCGUUAAUCGGAUUUACUGGGCGUAAAGCGUGCGUAGGCGGCUUCUUAAGUCGGAUGUGAAAUCCCUGAGCUUAACUUAGGAAUUGCAUUCGAUACUGGGAAGCUAGAGUAUGGGAGAGGAUGGUAGAAUUCCAGGUGUAGCGGUAAAAUGCGUAGAGAUCUGGAGGAAUACCGAUGGCGAAGGCAGCCAUCUGGCCUAAUACUGACGCUGAGGUACGAAAGCAUGGGGAGCAAACAGGAUUAGAUACCCCCGUAGUCCCUGUCUCUUAUAA